UACAGGGGGUGCAAACGUUGCUCGGAAUUAUUGGGCGUAAAGCGCGCGCAGGCGGUUCUUCAAGUCAGUGGUGAAAGCCCGGAGCUCAACUCCGGAACUGCCAUUGAAACUGUAGAACUUGAGGACGAGAGAGGUGAGUGGAAUUCCCAGUGUAGAGGUGAAAUUCGUAGAUAUUGGGAAGAACACCGGUGGCGAAGGCGGCUCACUGGCUCGUUUCUGACGCUCAGGCGCGAUAGCGUGGGGAUCAAACAGG
rnacentral:rRNA from 1 species